rnacentral:rRNA from 1 species
UACAGAGGGUGCGAGCGUUGUUCGGAAUUAUUGGGCGUAAAGGGCGCGUAGGCGGUGCGGUAAGUCACCUGUGAAAUCUCCUGGCUCAACUGGGAGCUUGCAGGCGAAACUGCCGUGCUGGAGUGUGGGAGAGGUGCGUGGAAUUCCCGGUGUAGCGGUGAAAUGCGUAGAUAUCAGGAGGAACACCCGUAGCGAAGGCGGCACUCUGGGCCGGAACUGACGCUGAGGAGCGAAAGCGUGGGGAGCGAACAGG